GAAUCUCGCGUACUCAUAUCUUCCGUGAAUUGGUUAUGGAUGAUUCUCCUAAGGGGAAAAUCAUGAUGAAGAAGAAGAAGAAUAUUGACAAAUUGUAGGAGUCGCUCAAGCCGCAGUGGCUUAUCAGGCAAUAUAUAGUUACAAAGAACCCUCUAUGACACUUUCAUAUAUAGGAAAUGAAUGGUUAAAAGAGUUGAUGGGCGAA